GAUGAACGCUGGCGGCGUGCCUAAUACAUGCAAGUCGAGCGAACGGACGAGAAGCUUGCUUCUCUGAUGUUAGCGGCGGACGGGUGAGUAACACGUGGAUAACCUACCUAUAAGACUGGGAUAACUUCGGGAAACCGGAGCUAAUACCGGAUAAUAUUUUGAACCGCAUGGUUCAAAAGUAAAAGACGGUCUUGCUGUCACUUAUAGAUGGAUCCGCGCUGCAUUAGCUAGUUGGUAAGGUAACGGCUUACCAAGGCAACGAUGCAUAGCCGACCUGAGAGGGUGAUCGGCCACACUGGAACUGAGACACGGUCCAGACUCCUACGGGAGGCAGCAGUAGGGAAUCUUCCGCAAUGGGCGAAAGCCUGACGGAGCAACGCCGCGUGAGUGAUGAAGGUCUUCGGAUCGUAAAACUCUGUUAUUAGGGAAGAACAUAUGUGUAAGUAACUGUGCACAUCUUGACGGUACCUAAUCAGAAAGCCACGGCUAACUACGUGCCAGCAGCCGCGGUAAUACGUAGGUGGCAAGCGUUAUCCGGAAUUAUUGGGCGUAAAGCGCGCGUAGGCGGUUUUUUAAGUCUGAUGUGAAAGCCCACGGCUCAACCGUGGAGGGUCAUUGGAAACUGGAAAACUUGAGUGCAGAAGAGGAAAGUGGAAUUCCAUGUGUAGCGGUGAAAUGCGCAGAGAUAUGGAGGAACACCAGUGGCGAAGGCGACUUUCUGGUCUGUAACUGACGCUGAUGUGCGAAAGCGUGGGGAUCAAACAGGAUUAGAUACCCUGGUAGUCCACGCCGUAAACGAUGAGUGCUAAGUGUUAGGGGGUUUCCGCCCCUUAGUGCUGCAGCUAACGCAUUAAGCACUCCGCCUGGGGAGUACGACCGCAAGGUUGAAACUCAAAGGAAUUGACGGGGACCCGCACAAGCGGUGGAGCAUGUGGUUUAAUUCGAAGCAACGCGAAGAACCUUACCAAAUCUUGACAUCCUUUGACAACUCUAGAGAUAGAGCCUUCCUCUUCGGGGGACAAAGUGACAGGUGGUGCAUGGUUGUCGUCAGCUCGUGUCGUGAGAUGUUGGGUUAAGUCCCGCAACGAGCGCAACCCUUAAGCUUGGUUGCCAUCAUUAAGUUGGGCACUCUAAGUUGACUGCCGGUGACAAACCGGAGGAAGGUGGGGAUGACGUCAAAUCAUCAUGCCCCUUAUGAUUUGGGCUACACACGUGCUACAAUGGACAAUACAAAGGGCAGCGAAACCGCGAGGUCAAGCAAAUCCCAUAAAGUUGUUCUCAGUUCGGAUUGUAGUCUGCAACUCGACUACAUGAAGCUGGAAUCGCUAGUAAUCGUAGAUCAGCAUGCUACGGUGAAUACGUUCCCGGGUCU
rnacentral:rRNA from 1 species